CACUCCUGCGGGAGGCAGCAGUGGGGAAUUUUGGACAAUGGGCGAAAGCCUGAUCCAGCAAUGCCGCGUGAGUGAAGAAGGCCUUCGGGUUGUAAAGCUCUUUUGUCAGGGAAGAAACGGUGAAAGCUAAUAUCUUUUGCUAAUGACGGUACCUGAAGAAUAAGCACCGGCUAACUACGUGCCAGCAGCCGCGGUAAUACGUAGGGUGCAAGCGUUAAUCGGAAUUACUGGGCGUAAAGCGUGCGCAGGCGGUUUUGUAAGUCUGAUGUGAAAUCCCCGGGCUCAACCUGGGAAUUGCAUUGGAGACUGCAAGGCUAGAAUCUGGCAGAGGGGGGUAGAAUUCCACGUGUAGCAGUGAAAUGCGUAGAUAUGUGGAGGAACACCGAUGGCGAAGGCAGCCCCCUGGGUCAAGAUUGACGCUCAUGCACGAAAGCGUGGGGAGCAAACAGGAUUAGAAACCCCUGUAGUCCC
rnacentral:rRNA from 1 species